GAAAUAUGGGGCUCAAGAAAAAGCUGCUAACUUUUUUCUUUAGCGGUUUAACUCCGUUUAUAUUUCU
rnacentral:tRNA from 1 species